AGCAUGACGCGGUGCAAUAUGGAACAUAUCAAAUAAAUUGCCAACUGGCCAAUAUGCUCAUGCAUUUGACAGCUUAAAGGAACAAAAAUUAAUAGAAACUUUCUUUGUGAUGUUUUGGGUUGAAUAUGCAACGAAUCAAACAAACGAAAAGCGGCAUCAGAUGCGGAUCUCGGGGCAAAGGGCUUUGUUCUUCCAUCCAGGUUUGGGAUCAAAUUUGGAAAAUAUUUAAAUCUAAUUUUAUUUUUUUAAGUAAAUUAAGCUAACAUCCCCUGAAGUUUUUUUUAUAUAAAAUUACACAAACUUCUCCUGCCUUUUUAGGUCAUACUCAAUCAUUCAUGCCUUUAUCUAAUCCUCAGUUAUUUAAGAAUAUACACUGACACCCCCUUAUACUUUACAUUAAUCAUGCUAUAACAAAAUCAUCGGGUAAAUUUACUGUCUAGUGUCAAACCAAAUAGUACAGAUUUUUAAUCAAAUCUUCUCAUUCAUCAUUGGGCAAAUAUUGUCUAACGCAUCAGUUAAGGUUUGGUGAGCAAAAAAAGUAUAAAAUCGACAAUCCAACUUUAUCCAGGCAGCAAAAAAAAUCAGGAUUCCAAACUCUCUAGCUGAAAUUAUUUCAUUCAUGUAAUGUGAAGCAUUAGUUUGGACCUCAAUUAAUCCUUUGCAAAAGAUUCAAAGGGUUACCGUUCAGUAGUCUAAUCAAGACAGCUAUAUCCGAAUUUACGAAAACAUAUCAAGAAGAUGUAUCCUGAAAUUGAUCGUUUACAAGCUAAAAACAAAAAGAAACAAA